UUAACUUAGUGGCGGACGGGUGAGUAACGCGUGAGCAACCUGCCUGUUAGAGGGGAAUAACGUCUGGAAACGGACGCUAAUACCGCAUAACGCAUUGAGACCGCAUGGUAUUAAUGCCAAAGAUUUAUCGCUAACAGAUGGGCUCGCGUCCGAUUAGGUAGUUGGUGAGGUAACGGCCCACCAAGCCGACGAUCGGUAGCCGGACUGAGAGGUUGAACGGCCACAUUGGAACUGAGAAACGGUCCAGACUCCUACGGAAGGCAGCAG
rnacentral:rRNA from 1 species